rnacentral:rRNA from 1 species
CAGUCGCCGCGGGAAUACGAAGGGUGCAAGCGUUAAUCGGAAUUACUGGGCGUAAAGCGUGCGUAGGCGGUUUGUUAAGUCCGUUGUGAAAUCCCCGGGCUCAACCUGGGAAUGGCAAUGGAUACUGGCAAGCUAGAGUGUGUCAGAGGAUGGUGGAAUUCCCGGUGUAGCGGUGAAAUGCGUAGAGAUCGGGAGGAACAUCAGUGGCGAAGGUGGCCAUCUGGGACAACACUGACGCUGAGGCACGAAAGCGUGGGGAGCAAACCGGAUUAGAUACCCGUGUAGUCCCUGUCUCUUAUAC